CUAUGUGUUGUUGGGUAGGGGAGCGUUCUGUAAGCCUGUGAAGGUGUACUGUGAGGUAUGCUGGAGGUAUCAGAAGUGCGAAUGCUGACAUAAGUAACGAUAAAGCGGGUGAAAAGCCCGCUCGCCGGAAGACCAAGGGUUCCUGUCCAACGUUAAUCGGGGCAGGGUGAGUCGACCCCUAAGGCGAGGCCGAAAGGCGUAGUCGAUGGGAAACAGGUUAAUAUUCCUGUACUUGGUGUUACUGCGAAGGGGGGACGGAGAAGGCUAUGUUGGCCGGGCGACGGUUGUCCCGGUUUAAGCGUGUAGGCUGGUUUUCCAGGCAAAUCCGGAAAAUCAAGGCUGAGGCGUGAUGACGAGGCACUACGGUGCUGAAGCAACAAAUGCCCUGCUUCCAGGAAAAGCCUCUAAGCAUCAGGUAACAUCAAAUCGUACCCCAAACCGACACAGGUGGUCAGGUAGAGAAUACCAAGGCGCUUGAGAGAACUCGGGUGAAGGAACUAGGCAAAAUGGUGCCGUAACUUCGGGAGAAGGCACGCUGAUAUGUAGGUGAAGCGACUUGCUCGUGGAGCUGAAAUCAGUCGAAGAUACCAGCUGGCUGCAACUGUUUAUUAAAAACACAGCACUGUGCAAACACGAAAGUGGACGUAUACGGUGUGACGCCUGCCCGGUGCCGGAAGGUUAAUUGAUGGGGUUAGCGGUAACGCGAAGCUCUUGAUCGAAGCCCCGGUAAACGGCGGCCGUAACUAUAACGGUCCUAAGGUAGCGAAAUUCCUUGUCGGGUAAGUUCCGACCUGCACGAAUGGCGUAAUGAUGGCCAGGCUGUCUCCACCCGAGACUCAGUGAAAUUGAACUCGCUGUGAAGAUGCAGUGUACCCGCGGCAAGACGGAAAGACCCCGUGAACCUUUACUAUAGCUUGACACUGAACAUUGAGCCUUGAUGUGUAGGAUAGGUGGGAGGCUUAGAAGUGUGGACGCCAGUCUGCAUGGAGCCGACCUUGAAAUACCACCCUUUAAUGUUUGAUGUUCUAACGUUGGCCCCUGAUCGGGGUUGCGGACAGUGUCUGGUGGGUAGUUUGACUGGGGCGGUCUCCUCCUAAAGAGUAACGGAGGAGCACGAAGGUUGGCUAAUCCUGGUCGGACAUCAGGAGGUUAGUGCAAUGGCAUAAGCCAGCUUGACUGCGAGCGUGACGGCGCGAGCAGGUGCGAAAGCAGGUCAUAGUGAUCCGGUGGUUCUGAAUGGAAGGGCCAUCGCUCAACGGAUAAAAGGUACUCCGGGGAUAACAGGCUGAUACCGCCCAAGAGUUCAUAUCGACGGCGGUGUUUGGCACCUCGAUGUCGGCUCAUCACAUCCUGGGGCUGAAGUAGGUCCCAAGGGUAUGGCUGUUCGCCAUUUAAAGUGGUACGCGAGCUGGGUUUAGAACGUCGUGAGACAGUUCGGUCCCUAUCUGCCGUGGGCGCUGGAGAACUGAGGGGGGCUGCUCCUAGUACGAGAGGACCGGAGUGGACGCAUCACUGGUGUUCGGGUUGUCAUGCCAAUGGCACUGCCCGGUAGCUAAAUGCGGAAGAGAUAAGUGCUGAAAGCAUCUAAGCACGAAACUUGCCCCGAGAUGAGUUCUCCCUGACUCCUUGAGAGUCCUGAAGGAACGUUGAAGACGACGACGUUGAUAGGCCGGGUGUGUAAGCGCAGCGAUGCGUUGAGCUAACCGGUACUAAUGAACCGUGAGG
rnacentral:rRNA from 1 species